ACUCUUGGCUCCGGGUCUCUGCGCUCCUCCUUCUUUCUGUGGGGCGGCUGCGGUGCCCCCUCCUGAUAAGGAACCCUCCGUGCCUCCCUUCCUCCCUCCCGCCUCUCCUCCGGGGGCGGCGGUGGGGGGGGGGGCGAGAGGCCAGCCUCCUCGGGCAAGGGGCAGGGACAAGGACGUAGGCCCGGGCCAAACUCUCCCCCGGCAUCACGUUCACGUUGGCUGGAGGCUUUGUGGAAAUCCACCAGGGCCUACGCCUUGGACCCCUGGAGGUGGUGCAGCAGGUGGGAAUGGGUGGCCUGGCAGAUCUUACAGAGGGUUGCUUGCAGAGGAGUCCAUGGACAGACCAUCGACACCUGCCAGGCUUCAGGUUUUGUGCCAAAAAGCGGAGGACCAGUCUUGUUUUUCUGGGGCUGCCCUGAUCCCUGGGGUCAUAUCUCUAAAUGUCUGAGCCCUUCAUGCACAAGGCCCCAUUUCACACCCUGACAUCUCCAAGGAAAUGAUCCAGCAGUAGAUGAGCAUCCUGGGACCAAGAUGGGUUCCCUUAGUUUAACUACCUGUCAUUUCUGGGUGCCUCGGGCCCAACAUGGCAAGAUGCUGUGUGUCUCUGUGUGUGGGAGAAGCAGCACCAUCCAGCCCUGACCAGAACAUCAUUUCCGUUGCUUAUCAUGCAGAGAUCCCUCUGACCCUAAGCUAGGAUGGACUCAGCACAAGAGGAAGAAGUUCCUUGUUGUUCCAGUAUCUGACACAAGCCACGGAGGAUUCGGUUUUUCCCUGGGGACACCACUUCAUCCAUGCAGAAGUCCCAACCAUUACAAGAAAACUAUUGUGGGACUUUAAACAGCUGCAGCUUUGCGUUGAACCGGUAUAAUAUGGAUAAGCAUCAGCUUCGAAAGGGGGCUGCCUGUUUUCACCUGUUCUUUUUUCCCUCGCUCAGCCUGAAUGCUUGGACAGACCACUAUUCUUUUUAUUCACGUUUUAAACUUCCUUCUAUUUCAAAUGCUGAUCUCUGGGAACCCACCCCACCUAUGUGGUCUUGCCACCUGCAUUGUGGUCAUGUGGAGGGACAGUGGGGAGGCUCACCAUCCCUGGAGCAGGGCAGCUACGAUGACGUUGCAAGGGAUCACCCCCUUUGGAGCUCCUGGACAAAAUUGGGCAUGUACUGUGGCUGGAUGGAACCUAUAUACAGCAGUGCAGGUGGCAUGCUAAAUGCACAACCCCAUUUAGCAAGAGACAUACUCUGAGUCACUGGUGGCAGCUGGGGAUCCCAGUUCGAUUUCGAAUACCUUUAAUGGCAUAUAAAUUGUUUAAAAUUAGCUUAGCAAGAUAAUAACAGCCUUUACAACUUUACAAUUUCUGACGAGUUAAAAUAACACCAUUAAAAAA